rnacentral:rRNA from 1 species
AGGGUUCGAUUCUGGCUCAGGAUGAACGCUGGCGGCGUGCUUAACACAUGCAAGUCGAACGGGAUCCAUCAAGCUUGCUUGGUGGUGAGAGUGGCGAACGGGUGAGUAAUGCGUGACCGACCUGCCCCAUACACCGGAAUAGCUCCUGGAAACGGGUGGUAAUGCCGGAUGCUCCAGUUGAUCGCAUGGUCUUCUGGGAAAGCUUUCGCGGUAUGGGAUGGGGUCGCGUCCUAUCAGCUUGACGGCGGGGUAACGGCCCACCGUGGCUUCGACGGGUAGCCGGCCUGAGAGGGCGACCGGCCACAUUGGGACUGAGAUACGGCCCAGACUCCUACGGGAGGCAGCAGUGGGGAAUAUUGCACAAUGGGCGCAAGCCUGAUGCAGCGACGCCGCGUGAGGGAUGGAGGCCUUCGGGUUGUAAACCUCUUUUAUCGGGGAGCAAGCGAGAGUGAGUUUACCCGUUGAAUAAGCACCGGCUAACUACGUGCCAGCAGCCGCGGUAAUACGUAGGGUGCAAGCGUUAUCCGGAAUUAUUGGGCGUAAAGGGCUCGUAGGCGGUUCGUCGCGUCCGGUGUGAAAGUCCAUCGCUUAACGGUGGAUCCGCGCCGGGUACGGGCGGGCUUGAGUGCGGUAGGGGAGACUGGAAUUCCCGGUGUAACGGUGGAAUGUGUAGAUAUCGGGAAGAACACCAAUGGCGAAGGCAGGUCUCUGGGCCGUUACUGACGCUGAGGAGCGAAAGCGUGGGGAGCGAACAGGAUUAGAUACCCUGGUAGUCCACGCCGUAAACGGUGGAUGCUGGAUGUGGGGCCCGUUCCACGGGUUCCGUGUCGGAGCUAACGCGUUAAGCAUCCCGCCUGGGGAGUACGGCCGCAAGGCUAAAACUCAAAGAAAUUGACGGGGGCCCGCACAAGCGGCGGAGCAUGCGGAUUAAUUCGAUGCAACGCGAAGAACCUUACCUGGGCUUGACAUGUUCCCGACGGUCGUAGAGAUACGGCUUCCCUUCGGGGCGGGUUCACAGGUGGUGCAUGGUCGUCGUCAGCUCGUGUCGUGAGAUGUUGGGUUAAGUCCCGCAACGAGCGCAACCCU